rnacentral:rRNA from 1 species
GACGAACGCUGGCGGCGUGCUUAACACAUGCAAGUGGUGCGACGAACCAGGCUUCGGCCUGGGGCAGAGCCGCGAACGGGUGAGUAACACGUGGGCAACCUGCCCUGUUGAUCGGGGCAACCCGGGGAAACCCGGGCUAAUACCGAAUGUGGUGCCGGCUCAUGAGAGCCGUCACGAAAAGAAGCUUCGGCCUCCGCGACAGGAUGGGCCCGCGGCCCAUUAGCUUGUUGGUGGGGUAAUGGCCUACCAAGGCAACGAUGGGUAGCUGGUCUGAGAGGACGAUCAGCCACACUGGGACUGAGACACGGCCCAGACUCCGACGGGAGGCUGCAGUGGGGAAUCUUGCGCAAUGAGCGACAGCUUGACGCAGCAACGCCGCGUGGGGGAAGAAGGCUUUCGGGUCGUAAACCCCUUUCAGUUAGGACGAAGCUUUAUUGGUUAAUAACCAAUUGGAGUGACGGUACUUUCAGAAGAAGCCCCGGCUAACUACGUGCCAGCCGCCGCAGUAA